GGCUCGUUAGCUCAGUUGGUUAGAGCACCACACUUUCAACGUGGAGGUCGUGGGUUCGAAUCCCACAUGAGCCC
rnacentral:tRNA from 1 species